CACGUAAACAACCUGCCUUCAGGAUGGGGACAACAGACGGAAACGACUGCUAAUACCGAAUAAAGUUCCAAGGGCCGCAUGGCCCAUGGAAGAAAAGGUGGCCUCUACCUGUAAGCUAUCGCCUGAAGAGGGGUUUGCGUCUGAUUAGCUGGUUGGAGGGGUAACGGCCCACCAAGGCGACGAUCAGUAGCCGGUCUGAGAGGAUGAACGGCCACACUGGAACUGAGACACGGUCCAG
rnacentral:rRNA from 1 species